UGGAAUGCAGAAAACAUCGGUAGCAACUGG
rnacentral:piRNA from 1 species